AUGGCCCAAUCUUGGGCCUUCUUCCUGCUCCUCGUCCUCUGCUUCUGCUUUGUGUCCGACCUCAUCUGCAGCAGCAAUGGGGAGAGGGUCUUCCUCUACCCGCAGUCCCAGAAGGUCUCCUCCAUCGUCAGCCAGCGGUACCGCACCGCCUACCACUUCCAGCCCCCCAAGAACUGGAUCAACGAUCCAAAUGGGCCAAUGUACUACAACGGCAUCUACCACGAGUUCUACCAGUAUAACCCCAAUGGCUCCGUAUGGGGUAACAUAGUUUGGGGCCAUUCGGUUUCGACAGACCUCAUCAACUGGAUCCCACUUGAAACAGCAAUAGAGCGGGACACCCCGAGCGACAUAAAUGGUUGCUGGACCGGCUCAGCCACAAUUCUGCCCGGUAACCGACUGGUCAUCAUAUACACCGGUGCCGACCCGGAGAAGCGUCAGGUCCAAAACAUUGUGGUUCCAAAAAACCUGUCUGACCCGUACCUGAGAGAAUGGACCAAAGCCGGAAAUAACCCGGUGAUCCAACCGGUCGGUCCGGGCUUGAACUCGGGCCAGUUCAGGGACCCGACAACCGGUUGGAUCGGACCUGAUGGGCUGUGGAGGAUAGCAGUUGGUGCUGAGCUCAACGGCGACAGUGCUGCACUUUUGUACAAGAGCAAAGACUUUCUGAACUGGACUAGAGUUGACCACUCACUGUAUUCAUCCAAUUCCUCCUCUAUGUGGGAGUGCCCGGAUUUCUUCGCGGUAUUGCCGGGCAAUAACGGCGGACUGGACCUGUCUGCAGCGAUCCCGAAUGGUGCCAAGCAUGUCCUCAAGAUGAGCCUGGAUUCCUGUGACAAGUACAUGAUUGGGGUUUAUGAUCUGAAAAGUGACAUCUUUAUUCCAGAUACUGUCCUAGAUGACCGGCGGCUAUGGUCGAGGAUCGAUUAUGGUAAUUUCUAUGCCUCAAAGUCGUUUUUUGACUCGAAGAAGGGCAGGAGGAUCAUAUGGGGUUGGACUAACGAGACAGAUAGUUCUUCGGACGAUGUUGCAAAAGGUUGGGCAGGAAUCCAUGCAAUUCCUAGGACGAUUUGGUUAGACAGCCAUGGCAAGCAGCUGCUGCAAUGGCCAGUUGAAGAGGUCGAGUCCCUUCGAGGAAAUGAAAUCAACCAUCAAGGACUAGAGCUGAAGAAGGGAGGUCUGUUUGAGAUUAAGGGAGCUGACAGUUUCCAGGCUGAUGUGGAGAUAGACUUUGAGCUGACGUCCAUCGAUAACGCCGAUCCUUUCGAUCCCUCCUGGCUUUUGGACGUCGAGAAGCAUUGCCGGGAAGCGGGUGCAUCAGUCAGUGGUGGCAUAGGGCCAUUUGGACUUGUUGUCCUGGCCUCUGACAACAUGGAGGAGCACACUGCUGUGCACUUCCGGGUGUACAAGUCAGAGCACAAAUACAUGAUACUCAUGUGCUCUGAUCUAAGAAGUUCUUCAUUGAGACCAGGACUGUACACACCAGCCUAUGGAGGCUUCUUUGAAUAUGACCUGGAAAAAGAAAAGAAGAUAUCUCUGAGAACUCUGAUUGAUCGGUCGGCGGUGGAGAGCUUCGGCGGCGGCGGCAGGGUCUGCAUCAUGGCCAGGGUGUACCCCGUGGCGGUUGUAGAUGGUUCGGCCCACAUGUAUGCCUUCAACAACGGCAGUGCCACGGUCAGGGUGCCACAGCUCAGGGCCUGGAGCAUGAGGAGAGCACAAGUGAAUGUGAAAGGGAUGGAGUGA
rnacentral:rRNA from 1 species